rfam:Spinacia oleracea cultivar SynViroflay scaffold12857.con0007.1, whole genome shotgun sequence.
UGUGGCCUGUGAUGACCAUAAUUUGUCUACAUUGUAUGAUUUUACAGUGAUGAAGGAAUAUAUAAGUCUGAGGCCUUG